AUAUGCUUGUCUCAAAGAUUAAGCCAUGCAUGUCUAAGUAUAAGCAAUCAUACUGUGAAACUGCGAAUGGCUCAUUAAAUCAGUUAUCGUUUAUUUGAUAGUACCUUUACCUGGAUAACCGUGGUAAUUCUAGAGCUAAUACAUGCUAAAAACCUCAACUUCGGAAGGGGUGUAUUUAUUAGAUAAAAAACCAACGCAGGCAACUGCUCCCUUGGUGAUUCAU
rnacentral:rRNA from 1 species